AUUGAACGCUGGCGGCAUGCCUUACACAUGCAAGUCGAACGGCAGCACGGGAGCAAUCCUGGUGGCGAGUGGCGAACGGGUGAGUAAUAUAUCGGAACGUGCCCAGUCGUGGGGGAUAACGUAGCGAAAGCUACGCUAAUACCGCAUAAGAUCUAUGGAUGAAAGCGGGGGAUCGCAAGACCUCGCGCGAUUGGAGCGGCCGAUAUCAGAUGAGGUAGUUGGUGGGGUAAGGCUCACCAAGCCGACGAUCUGUAGCUGGUCUGAGAGGACGACCAGCCACACUGGGACUGAGACACGGCCCAGACUCCUACGGGAGGCAGCAGUGGGGGAUUUUGGACAAUGGGCGCAAGCCUGAUCCAGCAAUGCCGCGUGCAGGAUGAAGGCCUUCGGGUUGUAAACUGCUUUUGUACGGAGCGAAAAGGCUUCCACUAAUACUGGGGGCUCAUGACGGUACCGUAAGAAUAAGCACCGGCUAACUACGUGCCAGCAGCCGCCGUAAUAC
rnacentral:rRNA from 1 species